GGCGCUGUGGCCGAGUGGUUAAGGCGACAGAUUCGAACUGUCGUCGUCUAUCUGUUCCGGUUUCCGGGCGCAGGUUCAAAUCCUGCCGGCGUCG